rnacentral:lncRNA from 1 species
UCUCCAUUCACGAGCACUGAUCGGUAUUUGAUCUCUCACAAGAUAUCCACAGUGACUAACAUAUUUAUUUGCAUGCUCACCAAGUGGUCUACCUGUAGCUAUCUCAAACUCAGAGAUUACAUAGCGGCCCUCCAACGGCUUCUUUGGCCCUCGUGGAGGUACGCUUCUCCCCGUAGAGGUCGAUCCAGAAGGCUACACGUAGAUAUAGAAACAAAAAUACUAAAUUAAUAACCAAGUAAGUCUAAAACCUAAUGUAAGAGAUGCAUUAAUUAUAUAUGUUUAUAUUUACAUACCUCGCCAGUAUUUUCUUCUUGUUGCACGACAAGUUGUUGCUCAGGCGC